GACCUAAUGGCCAAUGGUGGCACCCGCACCGCAUUCAUACGGAAUUAGAUGAUAAAAGUGGGAGGUCCUGGUUCGAUUCCGGGUUGGGCCA